GAUGAACGCUGGCGGCGUGCUUAACACAUGCAAGUCGAACGAUGAAGCCCAGCUUGCUGGGUGGAUUAGUGGCGAACGGGUGAGUAACACGUGAGUAACCUGCCCUUAACUCUGGGAUAAGCCUGGGAAACUGGGUCUAAUACCGGAUAGGAGCGUCCACCGCAUGGUGGGUGUUGGAAAGAUUUAUCGGUUUUGGAUGGACUCGCGGCCUAUCAGCUUGUUGGUGAGGUAAUGGCUCACCAAGGCGACGACGGGUAGCCGGCCUGAGAGGGUGACCGGCCACACUGGGACUGAGACACGGCCCAGACUCCUACGGGAGGCAGCAGUGGGGAAUAUUGCACAAUGGGCGCAAGCCUGAUGCAGCGACGCCGCGUGAGGGAUGACGGCCUUCGGGUUGUAAACCUCUUUCAGUAGGGAAGAAGCGAAAGUGACGGUACCUGCAGAAGGAGCACCGGCUAACUACGUG
rnacentral:rRNA from 1 species